CCCAGGCUUGCCUGUAGACAAUGGGUCGUGUAAUGUGUCCUGGAUGGAAGCUGGAGGCAUGUAGAGUAAGCUCCUUAAGCACCUGGCUGAAGAGACCUCGUCCUUAAUGAUAACCUUUGAUGAUGCCUUCAAUACAUCCACAAAUACUUACGGAACUGGCUGAAGAGAACCCUGAGCCACUGGUGAGUAUCUUUGAGAACUCAUGAAUGAUGGGAGAUAUCCCAGAAGAACUGGAAAAAGGUGAAUAUAAUACCUAUCUAUAAAAAGGAAACAAGGACGGUCCAGAGAAUUAUAGGCCAGUCAGAUUAAUUUUGGUAACUGGAAAGAUAAUGGACCAAAUAAUUAAAUAAUUUCUAAGCACCUUGAAGAAAA